rnacentral:lncRNA from 1 species
GUUGAAGUAUAUGCACUGGGGUGGAAGAACUAGAAGUGGAAUACUGGUUCUAUAAAUUACAGGGGCCAGGUUCCAGAUGAUAGUGUUCAAGGACUGCUUAUAGGCCUUGAGCACGAAUGGCCACUGGGCUGAAACUUCUUCCAUGUUCCUAUUAUUAAGGAGAUUCUCGGAUUGUCCUCGUCUCACGAUUUCCAGGGUCUUGUGGGCAAGGCCUUGUCUCCUGUUUUCUGUGUGCUUAACCAGUUUUGCUUCGCCCCAUAGUGGUUUAGUAUUGGAUGUGAAACGGUCUUCGGUGAGCCCUGUGGACAUUUUGCCUUCUUUGGUAUCUUUUUUAUGUUCAAAGGUCUGCUCCACCGAUGUGCGUCCUGUGUAUCCUAUG